GGGGGACGAAUCCGAGGUGGAACUUUGACAAGCGGUACUCUAUAACCCCAUCGGUUCUCGAAAGGGGCGGGAAACUCACGGUGCGUGUGUGUUAUAAGAGAAGUGUGGGAGUUCACUGGUGCAUCGGUGAAAGUGAAGUAUGUCUAAAACAACUUUUGGAAACGUGGAUUGAGUCUCAUAAGGAGACAGUCACACUCACUAAGGACGUGCUGAAGCACGGCAAGCGUCGUGGACAAUUCACCUUCUCCUACACUUUCCGACUACACUCAUUUUCUGUUUGAGACCAAAAACCAAAAAACAAAAAAAUGUUGACGGCACUAGUAAUUGGAUGCAUGCUCAUAUUUA
rnacentral:lncRNA from 1 species